GACGAACGCUGGCGGCGUGCUUAACACAUGCAAGUCGAACGGAAAGGCCCUGCUUUUGUGGGGUGCUCGAGUGGCGAACGGGUGAGUAACACGUGAGUAACCUGCCCUUGACUUUGGGAUAACUUCAGGAUACUGGGGCUAAUACCGGAUAGGAGCUCCUGCUGCAUGGUGGGGGUUGGAAAGUUUCGGCGGUUGGGGAUGGACUCGCGGCUUAUCAGCUUGUUGGUGGGGUAGUGGCUUACCAAGGGUUUGACGGGUAGCCGGCCUGAGAGGGUGACCGGCCACAUUGGGACUGAGAUACGGCCCAGACUCCUACGGGAGGCAGCAGUGGGGAAUAUUGCACAAUGGGCGGAAGCCUGAUGCAGCAACGCCGCGUGCGGGAUGACGGCCUUCGGGUUGUAAACCGCUUUCGCCUGUGACGAAGCGUGAGUGACGGUAAUGGGUAAAGAAGCACCGGCUAACUACGUG
rnacentral:rRNA from 1 species